UAUCCUCUGCCGUGUUCGUCAGGGACGUCAAUUUUGGCGAACCGAUGUGCACCCGUAGGGAGCCGAUCGAGUUGAUUCCAGCGAGAAUGUGACUCUAGGCACCCACCUUAAAUGCGGGUUCUCAAAAACGUCCGCAACGGCAUUCGCGGAGGAUUC
rnacentral:other from 1 species